GACGAACGCUGGCGGCGUGCUUAACACAUGCAAGUCGAACGGAAAGGCCCUGCUUUUGUGGGGUGCUCGAGUGGCGAACGGGUGAGUAACACGUGAGUAACCUGCCCUUGACUUUGGGAUAACUACAGGAAACUGGGGCUAAUACCGGAUAGGAGCUCCUGCUGCAUGGUGGGGGUUGGAAAGUUUCGGCGGUUGGGGAUGGACUCGCGGCUUAUCAGCUUGUUGGUGGGGUAGUGGCUUACCAAGGCUUUGACGGGUAGCCGGCCUGAGAGGGUGACCGGCCACAUUGGGACUGAGAUACGGCCCAGACUCCUACGGGAGGCAGCAGUGGGGAAUAUUGCACAAUGGGCGGAAGCCUGAUGCAGCAACGCCGCGUGCGGGAUGACGGCCUUCGGGUUGUAAACCGCUUUCGCCUGUGACGAAGCGUGAGUGACGGUAAUGGGUAAAGAAGCACCGGCUAACUACGUGCCAGCAGCCGCGGUGAUACGUAGGGUGCGAGCGUUGUCCGGAUUUAUUGGGCGUAAAGGGCUCGUAGGUGGUUGAUCGCGUCGGAAGUGUAAUCUUGGGGCUUAACCCUGAGCGUGCUUUCGAUACGGGUUGACUUGAGGAAGGUAGGGGAGAAUGGAAUUCCUGGUGGAGCGGUGGAAUGCGCAGAUAUCAGGAGGAACACCAGUGGCGAAGGCGGUUCUCUGGGCCUUUCCUGACGCUGAGGAGCGAAAGCGUGGGGAGCGAACAGGCUUAGAUACCCCGGUAGUCCACGCUGUAAACGGUGGGUACUAGGUGUGGGGUCCAUUCCACGGGUUCCGUGCCGUAGCUAACGCUUUAAGUACCCCGCCUGGGGAGUACGGCCGCAAGGCUAAAACUCAAAGGAAUUGACGGGGCCCCGCACAAGCGGCGGAGCAUGCGGAUUAAUUCGAGACAACGAGUAGAACCUUACCUGGGUUUGACAUGGAUCGGGAGUGCUCAGAGAUGGGUGUGCCUCUUUUGGGGUCGGUUCACAGGUGGUGCAUGGCUAUCGUCAGCUCAAUGUCGUGAGAUGUUGGGUUAAGUCCCGCAACGAGCGCAACCCUUGUUCACUGUUGCCAGCACGUUAUGGUGGGGACUCAGUGGAGACCGACCGGGGUCAACUCGGAGGAAGGUGGGGAUGACGUCAAGUCAUCAUGCCCCUUAUGUCCAGGGCUUCACGCAUGCUACAAUGGCUGGUACAGAGAGUGGCGAGCCUGUGAGGGUGAGCGAAUCUCGGAAAGCCGGUCUCAGUUCGGAUUGGGGUCUGCAACUCGACCUCAUGAAGUCGGAGUCGGUAGUAAUCGCAGAUCAGCAACGCUGCGGUGAAUACGUUCCCGGG
rnacentral:rRNA from 1 species